AUCGCUUCUACUUCUCCCAAAUAAGCACAACUCCUGGUCUACUCCAGCUUCUCCUCCAGCAGGAUUUCCAGCUUCCACUGUGAUCACUGUGUCUGUAAUUCUGCUGCUGCUUCUGACUGGAGUCAUAUUCCUCAUUGUGAUUCUACAUAAGAGACUCAGGACGCAAAGCCCAGGAACAAUGACACCAACUUACAGAGAGACAAAUGGAGAUUAUGAAAAUGACCCAAAUGUGCUCCAUUUCCAGUCAAGACAAAUGACCAACCGAUCAGAUUCGGUCUAUCAAAGUCUGAACCCCGACACCAACCAAUCAGAUUCAGUCUAUCAAAGUCUGAACCCCAACACCAACCAAUCAGAUUCGGUCUAUCAAAGUGUGAACCCCAACACCAACCAAUCAGAUUCGGUCUAUCAAAGUCUGAACCCCAACACCAACCAAUCAGAUUCAGUCUACCAAAGUCUCAAG
ensembl:lncRNA